GAUUAUAUUAUUAAUAUUAAAUAAUAACAUUGUAUUUAUUUUGGGUUGUGAUAAUCAGGUUUUAAUUCGGUUUAGUCUAUUGGGUUUUGGUUUGACAUGGGUUUGGCACAGUAAAUCAAAGAUAAACCGUGAAACUCAAAUUUAUGGGGACCUAGGAUUCGAACUUUCGAUUUAGGGAGAAAUUGGACUUUAACUUCCAUUUUGUGGAGACUGAGAUAGAGGUUCGAAUUCUGUGUAGUUAUGGUGUUAUAUGAAACUUUGUAGGGAGACACAAGUCGUUUACCCAAAUAAAAACAAUUAAAAAUUACACAAAAAUAUUACGAGGAUACGCAUACCCGUUAAUGUCUUCUAAUAAAAUCAGCAAAACAAACUCUAUGUUCAAUGCAAAGCCUCCUCGCAAAUUCCCGUCCCCAUCU
rnacentral:sRNA from 1 species